UACGUAAGGGGCGAGCGUUGCUCGGAAUUACUGGGCGUAAAGGGCUUGUAGGCGGCCUUACAAGUCGAAUGUGAAAAACCGGGGCUCAACCCCGGCGCCGCAUUCGAAACUGUGAGGCUUGAGUCUGGUGGAUGGUAGUGGAACACCCGGUGUAGCGGUGAAAUGCGUAGAUAUCGGGUAGAACACCGAAGGCUAAAGCAGCUAUCAAUGCCAAGACUGACGCUGAGGAGCGAAAGUAUGGGGAUCAAAC
rnacentral:rRNA from 1 species